rnacentral:rRNA from 1 species
CCUACGGGAGGCAGCAGUGAGGAAUAUUGGUCAAUGGGCGCGAGCCUGAACCAGCCAUCCCGCGUGCGGGACGAAGGCCCUCGGGUCGUAAACCUCUUUUGCACGGGAAGAUGGUGACGGUACCGUGCGAAUAAGCCCCGGCUAACUACGUGCCAGCAGCCGCGGUAAUACGUAGGGUGCGAGCGUUGUCCGGAAUUACUGGGCGUAAAGGGCUCGUAGGUGGUUUGUCGCGUCGUCUGUGAAAUUCUGGGGCUUAACUCCGGGCGUGCAGGCGAUACGGGCAUAACUUGAGUGCUGUAGGGGUAACUGGAAUUCCUGGUGUAGCGGUGAAAUGCGCAGAUAUCAGGAGGAACGCCGAUGGCGAAGGCAGGUUACUGGGCAGUUACUGACGCUGAGGAGCGAAAGCAUGGGUAGCGAACAGGAUUAGAUACCCUGGUAGUCAUGCCGUAAACGGUGGGCGCUAGGUGUGAGGGUCUUUCUAUGACUUUCGUGCCGUAACUAACGCAUUAAGCGCCCCGCCCUGGGGAAGUACGGGCGCGAGGCUAAAACUCAAAGGAAUUUGACGG